rnacentral:rRNA from 1 species
CGGACGGGUGAGUAACGCGUGGGUAACCUGCCUCACACUGGGGGAUAACAGUUAGAAAUAGCUGCUAAUACCGCAUAAGCGCACAGUUCCGCAUGGAACAGUGUGAAAAACUCCGGUGGUGUGAGAUGGACCCGCGUCUGAUUAGCCAGUUGGCGGGGUAACGGCCCACCAAAGCGACGAUCAGUAGCCGGCCUGAGAGGGUGACCGGCCACAUUGGGACUGAGACACGGUCCAA